AGGUGAACCUGCGGAAGGAUCAUUAAAGAGUAAGGGUGCUCAGCGCCCGACCUCCAACCCUUUGUUGUUAAAACUACCUUGUUGCUUUGGCGGGACCGCUCGGUCUCGAGCCGCUGGGGAUUCGUCCCAGGCGAGCGCCCGCCAGAGUUAAACCAAACUCUUGUUAUUUAACCGGUCGUCUGAGUUAAAAUUUUGAAUAAAUCAAAACCUUCAACAACGGAUCUCUUGGUUCUCG
rnacentral:misc_RNA from 1 species